rnacentral:rRNA from 1 species
GACGAACGCUGGCGGCGUGCUUAACACAUGCAAGUCGAACGGAAAGGCCCUGCUUUUGUGGGGUGCUCGAGUGGCGAACGGGUGAGUAACACGUGAGUAACCUUCCCUUGACUUUGGGAUAACUUCAGGAAACUGGGGCUAAUACCGGAUAGGAGCUCCUGCUGCAUGGUGGGGGUUGGAAAGUUUCGGCGGUUGGGGAUGUACUGGGGGCUUAUCAGCUUGUUGGUGGGGUAGUGGCUUACCAAGGCUUUGACGGGUAGCCGGCCUGAGAGGGUGACCGGCGACAAGGGGACUGAGAUACGGCCCAGACUCCUACGGGAGGCAGCAGUGGGGAAUAUUGCACAAUGGGCGGAAGCCUGAUGCAGCAACGCCGCGUGCGGGAUGACGGCCAUGGGGUUGUAAACCGCAUUAGCCUGUGACGAAGCGUGAGUGACGGUAAUGGGUAAAGAAGCACCGGCUAACUACGUG